UUGUGUCAGAAGUGAUAAUCUUUUACACUCGCAAAUAAGAAUCUGAGCAUUAAAACAAGUUCAGGAGAAUGCCAGAAGAACACAACUCCAGGAUAAAACAUGUCUUUUGUUAUAUAUAAAAUACAUCUGCAUUACUUCAAAUAGGCCUGAUACUGUAACCUCUCUGCAUAUGAACAUCAAGCUCUGGGAUCCUUGUAGGUGCUGCUAUUCCUUGAGAUUUGAUUUGCAACCAAGAGAACCAGAAGAUGUCAAGGAAGAUAAAAGUGGAAUAUCUGGUAGCAUUCAGAUGGCUAAAAGGAAGCCAAAGCUUUCAGUAGAGCAGCUUUGCCAUGCUUAAUGGUUUGGGCUGGGAUAAGUAAUCACAGAUGCUGUGAAGGAACCUUGUGGAAGAAAACAAGAAGCAGUCUACACUGACAAGUACAGUGAAGUGUCUACAGUUAAGAUUAGAAAGAAAAGCAUCGCAGUUUGAAAUACUUUUCUUAGAAGAAAACUCCACAGGAGAUUAGUUCAGCCAAUGGUUAAAUUUUUCUUAACACUUGAUAUUAACUUGAAGGUUGAAGAACGGUUCAAAGAUUCAUGACUUCAUCCUCUCAAAGCAACUAGACAAUAUCACUAACUCUAUUGGAAAGCAAUUUCAGGUGGGUUUUUUCAUUAAGAAGCUGAACCUGGAGUAUUUAACAUCAACAAGACAAAUAAAGAAGGAACAUAAACAUCAUGAAUUUUAAAAUAAAAUAACUUUUUUGUAUCAUUCACUUUAUAACUACUUCAAAAGUAAAUAGACAUCGCAGAGCCCUCACAUGAACACAUUCAUACACACCACACUCAUACAAAAAAUAAAUGAGGUAUGUGCAAAUUCUUUUAAGUAUUUCUCAAGAUGUAGAGAAAACAGUGAAACUGAAGAUUAAGUCAACCUAGGUCACAGCCAAAGAUGGCUCAAAUGGAUCAAAGGAUGGGAACACAUCUGAUCAAAACUACACUUGCACAGUUAAAUCAAGGAAGCUAUUCAAAAUCGGACUUUUUAAGAAGUAUCAUGUCUAGAUCAAAUGCAUGGUAUAGAUUGUGUACAACAGAACUGGGAGCAAUGUAGAUAACC